ensembl:misc_RNA Metazoa_SRP Metazoan signal recognition particle RNA
UUAAGUUUGGCAUUAACAUGGUGACCUCUUGGGAGCAGGGGACCACCAGGUUGCCUAAGGAGGGGUGAAGCAGCCCAGGUCGGAAACGGAGCAGGUGAAAACUCCCUUGCUGAUCAUUAA